CCAGAUUCAGUGGAUAGAAAUGCAGGAUGAGGAGUUCCCUUGUGGCUCCUAGCAUGUGUGAGGAUCUGUGAGGAUGCAGGUUCAAUCCCUGGCCUUGCUCAGUGGGUUAAGGAUGCAGUGUUGCUGCAAGAUGACGUGGCUUGGAUCUGGCGGUGCUGUGGCUCUGACGAAGGCAGCUGCAGUUCCAAUUCAACCCCUAGCUCCAGAAACAUCCAUAGGCCACAGGUGCAGCCGUAAAAAGAAAGAAAAAAGACAUGCAGGAUGCCCAGCUCAAUCUCAGGUAAUCUCAAAUGACUUUUUUUCUAAGUAUGCCCCAAAUAUUUCAUGGGACUUACUUAGACUACAGUGUAAUUCCUUACGCAUAGAAAGUUCGACUUUACCUGGUGUUCUGGGUCUUGUCUGGGGGGGGGCAGUAAGGGGUUUGGAGACAGUCAGUUUGUCCUAAGCUGCAUCUAAUGGUGAGUUUUAAAAUGUCACCUCCAAACCUGGUUAUAAAACACAAGAAAACUGGAAAUCAGUAUGGCGUUUCAUUAAAAAAUUGAAAAUAUGGAGCUCCCUUUGUGGCGCGGCGGAAAAGAACCCGGCUUGUAACCAUAAGGAUGCGGGUUCGAUCCUUGGUCUCGCUCAGGGGAUGAAGGAUCCGGCGUUGCCAUGAGCUGUGGCGCAGGUCACAGAUGGGCUUGGACCUGGCAUUGCUGUGACUGUGGCGUAGGCCAGCAGCUACAGAUCCAAUUGGACCCCUGGCCUGGGAACCUCCAUAGGCCACAGGUGCGCCCCUAAAAAGACCAAAAAAAAAAGUGUAGGAUGCGAAAUGACUUGAUUUCCCUGGAAAGAGACCAAGCCCCUUCCUUUAUCGGGCUGCGACUUCAGGGAUGUCCAUCUGAUAUGCAGAUGAGCCGCAUCCGGGCGUCCACGAAGCUUUAGUUAGAUUUACAAGGCGGCACUAGGACUUUCCCUUCAGGGCUUGGAGGCAGCGCGCAAAGCCUCGCCAGUGUCUGCAGGAAGAGCUGGGAGGCGAGCCUGCCCACUGCGGGGGUGUCGGGAGGCACUGAGGAUGGGACCGAGGGGUGUCUCCAAGGGCGGAGAGCGGGUGCUGUUGAACAAGAGAGCUUGUGUGCAAUCAUUCUCAGAGGAGAGCACUGAUCUUUGAAACUCUCGAGGGUACAGCCGGGAAUGGCGAUGAUAGUGAUGGAUGGACCUGAUGAAGGGUCAUUUUUUUUUUUGCCCAAAUUCUGUGCCUUCAAAGACCCUGGAAAAAUCCUCCGGUCACAGGCCACCGCCGCAUCCACAGAGUGAAAACAUGCUACCGUCCCCGUUCCGCCUGCAAACCGUGCACCUUGCUCCGCAGCGGGCACUGGGCUUUGCGGAGCAGAAACAUCGCUGGUCCGGGCCCAUCCUGCAUUCCAGCCUCCUGUACUGGGGGCUCCCAUUAGCCCCGCUCCGCUCCCUGCCAGACUCCCCACCGAGCUUUUGGGCUUUUGUCAGCUCGAGACAGCCCUUGAAAACCGUGCAAGCUGAGGGGGUGUGUGUCUAAUAAAGUUCAAGCUCUGUAAUUUCGCAAUUACUGUAACCCACACGUGUAAUUUAGGGGGUUUCUCGUAAUUCUUCUUUGUACUGUCUCUUUUAAAAAGCAGGCGGCUUGAAGAGUUUUCUCUUGAACGCCCCCAAUGCAGGCUGGCGUUUGCCACCCCCGCCCCUGGUCAGCUGCAGAGUACACAAAAGUGGGCAGAUGGGGUUUGGGCUGCUUUUCGGGGACUCAAAAGGUUAAUUGAAUGUUCGGCAGCCCCCAAAGGAAGCCCAGCUUCCUCUCUGUGACCCCAGGCCUCCGAAGUUCUGAAUUCAUCUGGGUGGAUCACGGGUGUAGACAGAAGUUUGAUGAAAGGUGUAAUCUACUCUCGGCCCCGGGUUCCAGCCUUAAGCAAGGCUCCUCGCUGCUCCCCGCAGCACCAUGCCCACUUCUGUGCCUCUGUCUUCAUUUAUGUGAUUAGCUGUUUAUUUCAGAAAUAUUGGGGGCGGGUCCACUCCACACUCCUCUGGGGAACCUAGGUCACAAAAGAUGGGGCUUUGUGGCCCUGGGGCAGGGCUGGGGGUGAUGACCACAGCUCCACAGGGCUGGCGGAGGGGGCUCCCUCCAGCCUCCCUCUGGUCCUCGGUCCUCCAGUGUGUGUAACCCCCCAGGCAGCAGGGCAGGUUGGGACCCUGAUUUCAGGGCUCAGCCUGCUCCCUCACUUCCAGGCUCUCCCUGGGGAAUUUCUGCCUGGCUUCUGCUUGUCCCUGCUCAGAAGGUAGCUUUGAGCUUAAAAAGCUGCAGGGUUUUCCCCUUGACCUGAACUCCCCUGCCCCCGAUGCAGCUGGGCUCCUGACCUCCUGGAGUGGGGAGCAGCCCCAGGUUAAGACCCCAGCCCCGGCUCAUCUCACCUGAGCAAACAGCUUUCCAGGAACAAGAGCUUCUCAGCUUGUUGUCUGCCUUUGGCUGAAUUCCAAGACCCGCAAAAAGUUGAUUUUUGUCACUUUUGUCCCGUUUAAAACUUAUAGCCUAGCCCCCAGCGUGGCCCAGAAGGCCCUCCAACAGAUUAAGGUUUAAACAGAAGAGGACUGGACAAUCUCAACAGAUACAGAAAAGGUAUAUAAUUCAAUGGCCGCUUUGGAAUACUUAUUUCGUUUAUUUAUUUAUUCUUUUUUAUGGCCACGCUCAUGGCACAUGGAAGUUCUGGGGCUAGGGGUUGAAGUGGAGCUGCAGCUGCUGCCCUAUGACACAGCCACAGCCACGUGGGAUCCGAACCACAUCUGUGACCUAUGCGGCAGCUCAGAGCAAUGCCAGAUCCUUAACCCACUGAGCGAGGCUAGGGAUCGAACCUACAUCCUCAUGGAUACUAGUCAGAUUCUUAACCUACUGAGCCACAAUGAGAACUCCUGAAUAGUCAUUUUAAAUAGUUUUAUCAAAUAAUAAUGGUUGUCUACAAAACUGAUAGCAAGCAUUUUACUUACUGAUGAAAUAUUAGAAGCCGUGUCUUUAUGUUUUAAAAUAGGAUUAGCUAUUUAUUUAUUUUAAUUUAUGGCUUUUUAGGGCCACGCCUGUAGCAUAUAGAAGUUCCCAGGCUAGCGGUGAAGUCAGAGCUAUAGCCGCCGGCCUACACCAGAGCCACAGCAAUGCGAGAUCCUUAACCCACCGAGCAAGGCUGGGGAUCGAACCUGAGUCCUCAUGGAUACUAGUCGGAUUCUUAACGCACGGAGCUACAGCAGGAACUCCCAGGGCCAGGUAUUUUUUUUAACAGUUUUCAUUCCACUGCAAGUCUCCUCCUGGCCAAUUGCACUGAGGAAUAACGGGAAAAGGAGAGAUGGCACCUUAGGGUGUCGAUUUCGCUGUGACGGAGCCCAGUGAACUCAGAAGGGCGUCGUGCUGGAGGCUGGGCUAUUGAGGAUGUUUCUGGACAGCGAGUCCCAUCUGUGUGCCCAGGGGCAGCAUCUGGGCACCGGGCACCAAUGCCCUGGCUCCCUGCUUUGCUUGGAGCCUGGACUGCACACGUGGGUGUGUGCCCAGCCCUGGGGGACCUGGGGGGCCAGCCAAGGGCUCUCGUUUCAGCCAAGCCUCUCCCUGACGUCCUCUGUGCUGUGUGUGGUCCCCUCGGCCCCACUUUAGAACAAAUCAGUGGGGCACCCAGAGUGGCAGUGGCCAGGCGGUGUGCCUGGUGGUCCCCCAAGAGGCAGAGGGGCCAGGCUGCCUCGGGGGGCCAUGGGGCUGGGGGAAGGACGGGGCCAGGGCCCUGCCUUUGCCCUCUGCUCCUCUCCAGGGCCCAGUAAGGCCAGAGAGGGUUUCCUCUUUGUCCCCCACUCCCCACCCACCAAGCCCCUCCCACUUCCUUCCCCUCUGCUUUUCAGCAUCGUCCUUUCUGCAGGGCUUUGGUGCCAGCAUCCUGGCCUCCCAGUUGCCUCCCACCAAGGUUCUCAGUCCAGCCACCACCACUGCUGGGGGUGCCAUCUUUUGCUGCAUCCUUCCAGACGGGCCGGGGGAGACCUGAUCCCAUCCCGGCUGCUCGGGGCCGGCACCCCCCUCUCCCCCGUUCACUGUGCACCCAGCCACACUUGGUGCCUCUUCAUUUUGCUGCCCUCUUGUCCCACAAUCUCCCAGGGGUGGGGGCACCAAAAGAGAGAGGGGGCAGAGGUGAGCUGAGGGGCCCCGUUGGGAAGGAAGGCCUGCCCGCCUGCCCGGCAGUAGCAGCUGCCAGGACGCAGACACCUGGGUGCCCGUUCCGCUGCCCAUGUGAGGGUCAGGGACAGUGUAGCCAGUGGAGGAACCUUCUGGAAGGCCGGCUCGUGCAAUAGCAGGGAGCAUUCAGGAGUGGGCGGGGGCAUGGAGGGGCUGGAGCGUGCGUCUCUGUCUUGGUGCAGGAUUUGAAAGGCCCGCGUGGCUGCGAAGAUGAUAUAAACAAGACCAAAGGGGCAACAGUGGUACAGAAAACGCGGGCUGGGCUGUGCACACGGUGGUCGACCAGAAGUUCAGAGGGGCUGACACGCUGCAGACCCCUGGGGAGCAGGUGCCUCCUUUUUCCUCCGCAGCCUGGAACGGAUGGGCCGGCGGGAAAGCGAGGGUCCACCUCCCUCCCAGCCACGCCACCCUGGCUGCUGGCUUUCGGUUGUGCUUUGUUCGAAAGCAGGGGUGCAGGCCCCGCCGACCGUGACCUUCGUGAUGACGGGCCCGCUGGCCUUUGGUGAGCCGGAAGGGCAGUGCUAUGGGGGCGCCUGCCUGGCAUCAUUAGGGAGCUGUCAGUGUCUCUGUCCACUGCUGGCAUGAGGUGGCCGGAGGCGAGGGUGACAGAUGAGGGAGAUGUUUUCAGGAGAGCUGGUGAUUUGACCUGACACAUGUCAGAAAGGCACAGGCCUCCUGCCUGCGUGACCCCGGGGAAGAGCCAUCGCUGCUCCCAGAGCAGGACAACAGCCCCAAGAGUGGAGGGGGGCUGCUAAUGAGGCUGUAGAGGGGUGCCCGUGGGCGGGGGGGGGCACGGGGUUGCCAUGCCCUGGUCCCUGAAGCCAGGCUGCCCUCUCCCACUCCCCAGGCCCCAGCCCCACUGUGGGGCAUGUAGCACUGACCCUGGAAACCGGCUGGUUGCCUCUCUUAACAGGACAGGUUUUCAAGUCUGAGACUUUCUGGAAUAUUCUUUCUGCCUUUGAGGAAUUAAGAUUUUUUUUUUAAAUUAUAGCUGACAUAAUGUUGUGCCAAUUUCCCUUGUCUGAAGCAUUUAUUUUAUUUAGUAGUAUUUAAAAAUCACCGUCUGCAUGAGUUCCCAUUGUGGCUCAGUGGUAACGAACCCAACUAGUAUCCAUGAAGAUGCAGGUUCGAUCCCUGGCCCCCCAUUGCCAAGAGCUGUGGUGUAGGUUGCAGAUGAGGCUCAGAUCUGGCGUGGCUGUGCCUGUGGUGCAGGCUGGCAGCUGCAGCUCUGAUUCAACCCCUAGCCUGGGAACCUCCAUAUGUCAUGGGCGCAGCCCUAAAAAGCAAAAUAAAUAAAUAAAUAAUCACCCUCUGGCCUAUUUAUCCUUAAAGAGAAAUUAGCCAGUGGGCAGAACCAGGAGAGCUCUGAGAACAGGCCCCGGGCACGGUUCUAAAGACACCCUUCCCUCCCCGGGCCAGGCGCGUAUGCAGAAGGAACCUGUUACAGGCUGAGCUGCGUUGCCCUCAAGUUCAAGCCUUAACGUCGCAGCCCUGGUCCCUCCGGUGAGACUUCAUGUGGCAGGAGGGUCUUUAAAUGGGUAAUGAAUGAAUCCAAACUGCGUUUCUAGACACAGCCCUGGUCCCUGAAAACCCUGCCCUGCCCGGAGGGAAGCUCUUCCGGAACAGGUGGCCGCUGUCAUCGGGAUGCCGUCGGGGACAACCUCCAGGCCCAGGACCGACACGCCCCCUCCCCCUGCACAAAGUCUCCUGAAAACGUGCGCUUUCAAAUAGAUACUGACC
rnacentral:lncRNA from 1 species